rnacentral:snRNA from 1 species
AUCGCUUCUCGGCCUCAUGGCUAAGAUCAAAGUAGUAGUAUCUGUUCUUAUCAGCUUAAUAUCUGAUACGGCCCUAUGAUGGGUCUUUUGAUGUUAACUGAAUUUUUGUAACGCGGCGCCUGGGCGGGGCUUGCCCCACCGGUGCCACGGGUCGUCCCGGCAUUGCACUGCAGCCGGGCACGGCCCACUUGUG